GCCGCUUUAUAUUUUGUACACCUCUACGUGGUAAGCGGCAGGCAACGUUUAUUUUAUAGACGGCUAAGAUGCAAAA
rnacentral:ribozyme from 2 species